UACGUAGGGCGCAAGCGUUGUCCGGAAUUAUUGGGCGUAAAGAGCUCGUAGGCGGUUUGUUGCGUCGGCUGUGAAAUCCCGAGGCUCAACCUCGGGUCUGCAGUCGAUACGAGCAAACUAGAGUGUUGCAGGGGAGACUGGAAUUCCUGGUGUAGCGGUGAAAUGCGCAGAUAUCAGGAGGAACACCGGUGGCGAAGGCGGGUCUCUGGGCAACAACUGACGCUGAGGAGCGAAAGCAUGGGGAGCGAACAGG
rnacentral:rRNA from 1 species